UCUCUCACUCUCUACCUCCUUCCCCACGCAUACACAAAUGACAAACCCAAACAUGUAUACAUUUUUUCAUAUAUUCUUGGGUUGGUGACCAACUUAUGACAGACAGAGCAUGCAAAGUUCGAGAGAUGAGGUUUGGACCUUUGCUUUGUCAUGAGGGGCAAAGCCGAGCACCCAAAAUGAUGGUGAUUGCUGACCAAUUCGCAGCCAAAAAAGAAACAAGCAUAUCAGCUACACUAUAUUUCAAGAAUUGACAGCAUAUUAUCCUAAAUUUUGGAACUUCGAUUCUUUGCUAUCCGAAAUUGGGAUUGCACUGUGAAGUCCGCGAAAUGCAGGACCAUAACGUACGGGUCGUCUGGAUGAUUUGAGCGGUAUGAUAGGUAUUGCUAUCCAAGUAGAUCAUCCAAAUAAAAAAUUGAUUGAUUAGAUCAUCUUUUUUCCCAAAUGAAAAGAUAUUAGUGAGGGAUCAAAUGGGGUAUGCAGAUUGGCUAAUUUUUAUUUAUAUGACAAAUGUGAUUUCGAUCAGUUGACUAUUACUACUCGGCCAAUUUGUUUUCUAGGCGGGCCUGAGAUGACGGCUCAGACCAUUGAGGUCGGCUACAUUCCACAGACUCCAUGAUAGGAGCAAGAUUUGUGACAGGUGUCCGAGCCAGCUUGCGCGCACCUAACCAUCUUUGCUUUAGAGCAUUCGCAAUACCUUCAGGUCGACUCAAAGCUCAGCUCAACCCAACUUCUUCACCAAACCAAAAGUUACAAGAAAAAGCAAACUAAAAAUACUUUCGCUCCGGGAUGGGAGUGGAGAGAUUGCUGGUGGAGAGUAGCAACACCUCGAUAAACGAAAUUGCGCGAACAGCAUGGCCGAACACACGACCGACUUCACUUUGACGCCAAACUUCUUUAGCUUCUGACACCUAUUGGAUUCUCGCGAGUAGUCGUAAUUGUCCGAGGAUGCCAACUUGUAUGUGCUGAGGAAAAUCUGCCUUUUCUUCGCCCUUUCCCUUCUGAAGCUUAAAGAAACUGUCAUGUUAGGGCGUUGGUCAUCACUCUUUUGCUUCGGGAUUGCGCGGGUCCGCCGGCUGAAACGCAGUGUGGUGUUCCUUACUAGGGAGUCCAUGGCUGUGUGCUUGAGAGAGAGAGAGAGAGAGAGAGAGAGAGAGGGGCUAGCUGAACC